AUAGAAGAUUAAAAUUCGAAACUUUAAAUUUCCAUCUACCAAAAAAAAAAUUGAAAGAUAAUUUAAAGAGCCUAUAGCGACUAUUAACCUAAAUGACGGUGAAUUUCACAUUUCCAUAAAUAAUAUAUUAAAACAUAUAAUUUAAAAUUAUCUGCGUGCGCCUAGUUUCCGCAGCUAAAGAAUGGAACAAUUAAACACGUAGAAAAUGAAUAAAAACGAAAAACCAAAAAGUAGGAAAAAGAAAAAGCAUAAAAACAAAAGCUCGCUAGCGAUUGCGUUGCGUGAUCUUUGAUCGAAACAUGAUAGUGAAGAUAUACUUAAAGAGCUUUAUAUGCCAAGAAAGUGUGGAGUGAUCGGCUAACGUACC
rnacentral:misc_RNA from 1 species